UGAUUGACAAAUGCUACAAGUUGCAUGGGUUCCCCCCAGACUUCAAAUUUACCAGGGAUAAACGAACUGCUGCAAGUGUUGAUGUACAAAAGGGUAUGAAAUCUGCUGCAAAUACUGAAGUGUCAAAUGUGCGUGAAGGUGUUCAGAAUUCUUCUACCUCAGAAUCUGGUAUUCCUGGAUUGACAAAGGAGCAGUAUUCACAGCUUUUGCUUCUUCUUCAACAAACUCAAGUCUCUGAAUCU
rnacentral:lncRNA from 1 species